rnacentral:sRNA from 1 species
CUCGGUGACAUAAUAGGCGACUUCUAGAUAAUACACAGUUAGAGACAACUCUCAGCAUCAGUCUAAGAAACAGACAUCUCACGUGGGAAAGUUGUUCAUCUUCUUUUGUUUUCGGAUUACACUUACCCAUAAGGCUUCACGACAAAAUUGUCUUCUGUUAGUGUCAAGUCUGCUGUUGUGUGACACUGCAGUGACAGCCUACACUGCUGAUGACAGUUGCUCAGCCAAGUCCUGUGUGCAGUCAGAGAGGUAGUAGAAAACCGAUGACCUGAAGAAAUCUUCGUGUCACUAUUCAUUCUCUUGGUUCUAAUAGUGAGUCCUGCAUUGGUUCAAACUCAUCCUAUUAUCAAAGAACAACAUCGCAUGCAUCUUUAAGACUACGUGCGCUAAUUCGUCUGGUAGUUCAGAUUCACUUCAAAGUUGUGACCAUGAACGUCUACGAGAGAAUGAGCCACCUCCUUGUCCUGCUCGUGUUAGCUACUUCAGGUUUAUGUAAAGAACCACAGAAAAAACCCAGAUUUAAUCGCAGUGACAUAGAGAAUGCUUUUAAAUUACUAGAAGUUAAAAUGAAAAUAUUACGUCAUCUGAACAUGACCACCAAGUCCGACAUGGACAAGUUACCAGAACCACCACGAAUGAAAGCUAUUGACCAAAAAUCCUAUAAAAAGGUCAACGUCCAGCAGAUGCCCAACAGAA